rnacentral:rRNA from 1 species
UCGAGAGGCUUCGGCAAUGGGGGAAACCCUGACCGAGCGACGCCGCGUGGAGGAUGAAGGCCCUUGGGUUGUAAACUCCUUUUGUCAGCGAAGAAGUGCGAUCAGGUGAACAAUCUGGUCGUUUGACGGUACCUGACGAAUAAGCUCCGGCUAACUCCGUGCCAGCAGCCGCGGUAACACGGGGGGAGCAAGCGUUGUUCGGAAUCACUGGGCGUAAAGGGCGUCUAGGCGGUCAGGUAAGUGGGACGUGAAAUACCUCGGCUCACCCGAGGGACUGCGUUCCAAACUGCUUGGCUUGAGUAUGGGAGAGGAUGUGGGAAUUCCUGGUGUAGCGGUGAAAUGCGUAGAUAUCAGGAGGAACACCGGUGGCGAAGGCGCACAUCUGGCCCAAUACUGACGCUGAAGCGCGAAAGCUAGGGGAGCAAACGGG